CCGAAUCCAAAUAGCCACCUGGUGGAUGUUUCUUGUUUGUCUAAAUUGUAGUUCAACAAGCCUUCUCAAUAAAUACUUGGCGGAUGAAUCUUAAAGCAACACUCCAUUGGAGGAGCUGCUCCCUUCCCCGUUCAGCUGUAAUUGUCUGAAUAUUUAUUUCUCGGCAUUCACUGCAGAACAAGCUGCAAGUGGUGACUCGGACGUGAUCAAGUGGUGACUCGGACAUGAUCAAGUGGUGACUCCGACGUGAUUGCCUUGAAGUUAUGCAUGGAGUAGGAUGACUCACCAAUCUUCGGGGAAUACCGGACUAGAGUGGAUCCCCAUAAAAUGAGUGAAGCCAUAAUAUGAGUUAGAGACUACUGAAAAAGCCCCUCCUGAUGAUGAAGGACCUGUCAUUGGAGAAUCGACCAAAACUGACAGUGAUAACUUGGAAGGCACCUGACAUUACCUGGGGACAGCUAAAGAAACUGGACCAACAGGGAACUAUCUGGCUUGCAUCUAUGGGAGCCCCUGAAACUGCAGAGAACCAGUUUCUUAUGUAUCUGAUGGUAAUUGGGGGAGCUUCUGAGAAGGCAUCUGCAAAUGGCUCUGUGCUGCCACUCAACCAACUAUGACCAGGGAAGAAUGAUAGAAGCUUACUUUGCAUUGGAUAAUCCGCAUGUUCUAAGAAUUAAAGAAGGGGGAAAUGUGAGGGGUGUAUGACAAUACAUUCAAGCUUAUGUACAAGGCAUUUGAGGUUGAGGCAUGGAAAAAUACUGAGGCACUGUGUGUAUGUUGUUUGUGCAUGAAACUGUAAUUCCUUGACCCUGAAAAUAGGACAAGGAAUAGAAUUUGUAAUAAGGAGUGCUGAACACAGCCUCCUAAGAAUGUGGUUUGAGUGCUUUUAGAUGUUAUAAACAAGGCCAUAUGUGCCUCAUGACCCGACCCCAAAUAGCCACCUUGUAGAUGUUUCUUGUUUGUCUAAAUUGUAGUUCAACUAGCCUUCUCAAUAAAUACUUGGCAGAUGAAUCUUAAAGCAGCACUGUCUUGGAGGAGCUGCUCCCCUCCCUUUCAGCUGUAAUUGUCUGAAUACUUAUUUCUUGGUGUUCACUGCAGAGCAAGCUGCAGCACAGCUGCCGGCAUUUAUUCAUGCAAGAUUCCAGCUUGCUUAUCUAUGUCUGCAGCUCAAUUUUACAGGCUGCUCUUUGUUAAAACAAAAAAAACAAAACAAAACAAACAAACAAA
ensembl:lncRNA novel transcript, antisense to ZNF726